UGAACGCUGGCGGCGUGCCUAAUACAUGCAAGUCGAGCGAACAGACGAGGAGCUUGCUCCUCUGACGUUAGCGGCGGACGGGUGAGUAACACGUGGAUAACCUACCUAUAAGACUGGGAUAACUUCGGGAAACCGGAGCUAAUACCGGAUAAUAUAUUGAACCGCAUGGUUCAAUAGUGAAAGACGGUUUUGCUGUCACUUAUAGAUGGAUCCGCGCCGCAUUAGCCAGUUGGUAAGGUAACGGCUUACCAAGGCAACGAUGCGUAGCCGACCUGAGAGGGUGAUCGGCCACACUGGAACUGAGACACGGUCCAGACUCCUACGGGAGGCAGCAGUAGGGAAUCUUCCGCAAUGGGCGAAAGCUUGACGGAGCAACGCCGCGUGAGUGAUGAAGGUCUUCGGAUCGUAAAACUCUGUUAUUAGGGAAGAACAAAUGUGUAAGUAACUAUGCACGUCUUGACGGUACCUAAUCAGAAAGCCACGGCUAACUACGUG
rnacentral:rRNA from 1 species